AUUGAACGCUGGCGGCAGGCCUAACACAUGCAAGUCGAGCGGAUGAAGGGAGCUUGCUCCUGGAUUCAGCGGCGGACGGGUGAGUAAUGCCUAGGAAUCUGCCUGGUAGUGGGGGAUAACGUCAGGAAACGGGCGCUAAUACCGCAUACGUUCUGAGGGAGAAAGUGGGGGAUCUUCGGACCUCACGCUAUCAGAUGAGCCUAGGUCGGAUUAGCUAGUUGGUGGGGUAAAGGCCUACCAAGGCGACGAUCCGUAACUGGUCUGAGAGGGUGAUCAGUCACACUGGAACUGAGACACGGUCCAGACUCCUACGGGAGGCAGCAGUAGGGAAUAUUGGACAAUGGGCGAAAGCCUGAUCCAGCCAUGCCGCGUGUGUGAAGAAGGUCUUCGGAUUGUAAAGCUCUUUAAGUUGGGAGGAAGAGCAGUAAGUGAAUACCUUGCUGUUUUGACGUUACCAACAGAAUAAGCACCGGCUAACUUCGUG
rnacentral:rRNA from 1 species